UACGUAGGGUGCCAGCGUUGUCCGGAAUUAUUGGGCGUAAAGAGCUCGUAGGCGGUUUGUCGCGUCUGCUGUGAAAACUGGAGGCUCAACCUCCAGCCUGCAGUGGGUACGGGCAGACUAGAGUGCGGUAGGGGAGAUUGGAAUUCCUGGUGUAGCGGUGGAAUGCGCAGAUAUCAGGAGGAACACCGAUGGCGAAGGCAGAUCUCUGGGCCGUAACUGACGCUGAGGAGCGAAAGCAUGGGGAGCGAACAGG
rnacentral:rRNA from 1 species